rnacentral:rRNA from 1 species
UAACAGCUCAAAUUUGAAAUCUGGCUCCUUCGGAGUCCGAGUUGUAAUUUGUAGAAGAUGCUUUGGGUUGUGGGCCCGGCCUAAGUUCCUUGGAACAGGACGUCAUAGAGGGUGAGAAUCCCGUAUGCGGCCAUGGCCCGCGCCUCUGUAAAGCUCUUUCGACGAGUCGAGUUUUAUGGGAAUGCAGCUCAAAAUGGGUGGUAAAUUUCAUCUAAAGCUAAAUAUGGGCCAGAGACCGAUAGCGCACAAGUAGAGUGAUCGAAAGAUGAAAAGCACUUUGGAAAGAGAGUUAAACAGUACGUGAAAUUGUUGAAAGGGAAGCGCUUGCAACCAGACUUGGGCGCUGCCGAUCACCCCGAGUUCUCUCGGGUGCACUCGACAGCGCACAGGCCAGCAUCGGUUCGGGUGGCUGGAGAAAGGCCGGAGGAAUGUAGCUCCCCUCGGGGAGUGUUAUAGCCUACGGCGCCAUGCAGCCCAGCCGGACCGAGGACCGCGCCUUCGGGCUAGGAUGCUGGCGUAAUGGUAUCAAGCGACCCG